rnacentral:rRNA from 1 species
CUAGUUGCCAUCGGGUCAWGCCGGGCACUCUAGUGAAACUGCCKCKGAUAACGAGGAGGAAGGUGGGGAUGACGUCAAGUCCUCRUGGCCUUUAUGUCCRGGGCUACACACGUGCUACARUGGUCGGUACAAACCGUCGCAAACCCGUGRGGGGGAGCUAAUCGGAAAAAGCCGGCCUCAGUUCGGAUUGGAGUCUGCAACUCGACUCCAUGAAGCUGGAAUCGCUAGUAAUCGCGGAU